rnacentral:rRNA from 1 species
GAGCUUGCUUCUUCUUGAGAGCGGCGGACGGGUGAGUAAUGCCUAGGAAUCUGCCUGGUAGUGGGGGACAACGUUUCGAAAGGAACGCUAAUACCGCAUACGUCCUACGGGAGAAAGUGGGGGAUCUUCGGACCUCACGCUAUCAGAUGAGCCUAGGUCGGAUUAGCUUGUAGGUGAGGUAAUGGCUCACCUAGGCAACGAUCCGUAACUGGUCUGAGAGGAUGAUCAGUCACACUGGAACUGAGACACGGUCCAGACUCCUACGGGAGGCAGCAGUGGGGAAUAUUGGACAAUGGGCGAAAGCCUGAUCCAGCCAUGCCGCGUGUGUGAAGAAGGUCUUCGGAUUGUAAAGCACUUUAAGUUGGGAGGAAGGGUUGUAGCUUAAUACGCUGCAACUUUGACGUUACCAACAGAAUAAGCACCGGCUAACUCUGUGCCAGCAGCCGCGGUAAUACAGAGGGUGCAAGCGUUAAUCGGAAUUACUGGGCGUAAAGCGCGCGUAGGCGGCUUGAUAAGAUGGGUGUGAAAUCCCCGGGCUUAACCUGGGAACUGCAUCCAUAACUGUCCGGCUAGAGUACAGUAGAGGGUGGUGGAAUUUCCUGUGUAGCGGUGAAAUGCGUAGAUAUAGGAAGGAACACCA